CGGACGGGUGAGUAAAGCAUAGGAAUCUACCCAGUAGCGGGGGAUAACCUGGGGAAACCCAGGCUAAUACCGCAUAUGCCCUACGGGGGAAAGCGGGGGACCAUUUGGCCUCGCACUAUUGGAUGAGCCUAUGUCGGAUUAGCUGGUUGGUGAGGUAAGGGCUCACCAAGGCGACGAUCCGUAGCUGGUCUGAGAGGAUGAUCAGCCACAUCGGGACUGAGACACGGCCCGAACUCCUACGGGAGGCAGCAGUGGGGAAUAUUGGACAAUGGGGGGAACCCCGAUCCAGCCAUGCCGCGUGUGUGAAGAAGGCCCUCGGGUUGUAAAGCACUUUCAGCGGGGAAGAAGGCGUGGUGGUUAAUAGCCGCCACGAGCGACAUCACCCGCAGAAGAAGCACCGGCUAACUCCGUGCCAGCAGCCGCGGUAAUACGGAGGGUGCAAGCGUUAAUCGGAAUUACUGGGCGUAAAGCGCGCGUAGGUGGCGUGUCACGCCGGGUGUGAAAGCCCCGGGCUCAACCUGGGAAUGGCAUCCGGAACGGGCAGGCUAGAGUGCAGGAGAGGAAGGUGGAAUUCCCGGUGUAGCGGUGAAAUGCGUAGAGAUCGGGAGGAAUACCAGUGGCGAAGGCGGCCUUCUGGACUGACACUGACACUGAGGUGCGAAAGCGUGGGUAGCAAAUAGGAUUAGAUACCCUGGUAGUC
rnacentral:rRNA from 1 species